UCCUUGGUGGUUUAGUGGCUAAGAUUCUGUGCUCACAAUACAGAGGACCCAGGUUCAAUCCCUGGUCAAGGAA